rnacentral:rRNA from 1 species
CAGCAGCCGCGGGAAUACAGAGGAUGCAAGCGUUAUCCGGAAUGAUUGGGCGUAAAGGGCUCGCAGGCGGUUUCUUAAGUCUGAUGUGAAAGCCCCCGGCUCAACCGGGGAGGGUCAUUGGAAACUGGGAAACUUGAGUGCAGAAGAGGAGAGUGGAAUUCCACGUGUAGCGGUGAAAUGCGUAGAGAUGUGGAGGGACACCAGUGGCGAAGGCGACUCUCUGGUCUGUAACUGACGCUGAGGAGCGAAAGCGUGGGGAGCGAACAGGAUUAGAUACCCGAGUAGUCCCUGUCUCUUAUAC